GACGAACGCUGGCGGCGUGCUUAACACAUGCAAGUCGAACGGUAAGGCCCUUAGGGGUACACGAGUGGCGAACGGGUGAGUAACACGUGGGUGAUCUGCCCUGCACUUCGGGAUAAGCCUGGGAAACUGGGUCUAAUACCGGAUAGGACCACUGCCUGCAUGGGUGGUGGUGGAAAGCUUUGGGGGUGUGGGGUGUGGCCCGCGGCCUAUCAGCUUGUUGGUGGGGUGAUGGCCUACCAAGGCGACGACGGGUAGCCGGCCUGAGAGGGUGACCGGCCGCACUGGGGCUGAGAUACGGCCCAGACUCCUACGGGAGGCAGCAGUGGGGAAUAUUGCACAAUGGGCGCCAGCCUGAUGCAGCGACGCCGCGUGAGGGAUGACGGCCUUCGGGUUGUAAACCUCUUUCAGCACCGACGAAGCGCAAGUGACGGUAGGUGCAGAAGAAGGACCGGCCAACUACGUGCCAGCCGCCGCAGUAA
rnacentral:rRNA from 1 species